rnacentral:rRNA from 1 species
ACACAUGCAAGUCGAGCGGAAACGAGUUAUCUGAACCUUCGGGGGACGAUAACGGCGUCGAGCGGCGGACGGGUGAGUAAUGCCUAGGAAAUUGCCCUGAUGUGGGGGAUAACCAUUGGAAACGAUGGCUAAUACCGCAUAAUGCCUACGGGCCAAAGAGGGGGACCUUCGGGCCUCUCGCGUCAGGAUAUGCCUAGGUGGGAUUAGCUAGUUGGUGAGGUAAUGGCUCACCAAGGCGACGAUCCCUAGCUGGUCUGAGAGGAUGAUCAGCCACACUGGAACUGAGACACGGUCCAGACUCCUACGGGAGGCAGCAGUGGGGAAUAUUGCACAAUGGGCGCAAGCCUGAUGCAGCCAUGCCGCGUGUGUGAAGAAGGCCUUCGGGUUGUAAAGCACUUUCAGUCGUGAGGAAGGUAGUGUAGUUAAUAGCUGCAUUAUUUGACGUUAGCGACAGAAGAAGCACCGGCUAACUCCGUGCCAGCAGCCGCGGUAAUACGGAGGGUGCGAGCGUUAAUCGGAAUUACUGGGCGUAAAGCGCAUGCAGGUGGUUUGUUAAGUCAGAUGUGAAAGCCCGGGGCUCAACCUCGGAAUAGCAUUUGAAACUGGCAGACUAGAGUACUGUAGAGGGGGGUAGAAUUUCAGGUGUAGCGGUGAAAUGCGUAGAGAUCUGAAGGAAUACCGGUGGCGAAGGCGGCCCCCUGGACAGAUACUGACACUCAGAUGCGAAAGCGUGGGGAGCAAACAGGAUUAGAUACCCUGGUAGUCCACGCCGUAAACGAUGUCUACUUGGAGGUUGUGGCCUUGAGCCGUGGCUUUCGGAGCUAACGCGUUAAGUAGACCGCCUGGGGAGUACGGUCGCAAGAUUAAAACUCAAAUGAAUUGACGGGGGCCCGCACAAGCGGUGGAGCAUGUGGUUUAAUUCGAUGCAACGCGAAGAACCUUACCUACUCUUGACAUCCAGAGAACUUUCCAGAGAUGGAUUGGUGCCUUCGGGAACUCUGAGACAGGUGCUGCAUGGCUGUCGUCAGCUCGUGUUGUGAAAUGUUGGGUUAAGUCCCGCAACGAGCGCAACCCUUAUCCUUGUUUGCCAGCGAGUAAUGUCGGGAACUCCAGGGAGACUGCCGGUGAUAAACCGGAGGAAGGUGGGGACGACGUCAAGUCAUCAUGGCCCUUACGAGUAGGGCUACACACGUGCUACAAUGGCGCAUACAGAGGGCAGCAAGCUAGCGAUAGUGAGCGAAUCCCAAAAAGUGCGUCGUAGUCCGGAUUGGAGUCUGCAACUCGACUCCAUGAAGUCGGAAUCGCUAGUAAUCGUGGAUCAGAAUGCCACGGUGAAUACGUUCCCGGGCCUUGUACACACCGCCCGUCACACCAUGGGAGUGGGCUGCAAAAGAAGUAGGUAGUUUAACCUUCGGGAGGACGCU